rnacentral:lncRNA from 1 species
GCAAACCAUUUAUAGCCACCCUCCCCCUUUGAGUACAAGAGAAAACAUACAACAUACUGUAGGUUUAUUUUUAUUCAAAAAGUUACUGUCUCAAGACAUAAAUACAAAUCAGAAAACAGUACAAUUAGGACAAUAGAAUGUGGAGGACAACAGGUUAGAGUAAUAUAUAAAACAUUUUUAGCUGGUUGAAAACAAAGCUGUAAGAACUGCUUUCACAAAGAAGUACUCCUUUCAAGAGUGAGAAAAAAAAUCAACUUAGGUUUAAAAUCAUAUAUACAGUCCUCUCAGCAGUUCUAGUUAAUGCAGUGGUGUGUAAAACAACAUAGGCAAUACUUUUGCACAUAACAAUAUUUGUUGAUGGAAAAUCUGUUAGACAAGUCUGGAUUCAUUUGUUAUUAACCAUGACUUAAUAAAAUAAUUGUAUCAUGAUCUUUUUAGCUAACCUAUGGUUUUUGGCUACCACAGCCCAAUGCUUGAUUUCUGACUAAAAACUGAAAGCCUUUUGGUAUUCACCCAUCUGAAGAUAUUCUUGUAUUGCAAGCAUAUUAAGGCAUGGAAUGAUUAAAAUAAUAUACCUCAAGAACUGAGAGACGACUGACAAUAGAUAGAUACACAUGUAAUAUAAGUUAAUAUUUUGUUUUAAACGAUGUCUAGCUGCCUAAGCCUCGCAAAAUGAGUUGAUGUCAAAAUGGCAAGUAGCCACUUUCUGUUUUAAACUAAUUUAUUUGUGAAAGGACAUAAAAUGAAGUUUAAAGCUUAGCUUUCAAAGAAUAUUAUGGGUUAUGAAUUC